GAAAAGAAACCAACAGGGAUUGCCUCAGUAACGGCGAGUGAAGCGGCAAAAGCUCAAAUUUUAAAGCUGGCACCUCCGGUGUCCGCGUUGUAAUUUUGUGAGGCAUCUCCGGGUGGGGCGCCGGCCUAAGUUCCUUGGAACAGGACGUCAUAGAGGGUGAGAAUCCCGUGCUUGGCUGGCUGUCCCCGUCCAUGUGAGGUGUUUUCGACGAGUCGAGUUGUUUGGGAAUGCAGCUCAAAAUGGGUGGUAAAUUUCAUCUAAAGCUAAAUAUUGGUGGGAGACCGAUAGCGCACAAGUAGAGUGAUCGAAAGAUGAAAAGCACUUUGAAAAUAGAGUUAAAAAGUACGUGAAAUUGUUGAAAGGGAAGCGCUUGAGACCAGACUUCGGUGGGGAGUGAUCAGCCGUCCUUCUGGGCGGUGCACUUGCCCCCCUCCGGGCCAGCAUCGGUUGGGACGGCGGGAUAAAGGUCCCGGGAAUGUGGCUCCUCUCGGGGAGUGUUAUAGCCCGGGUGAAUGCCGCCAGCCCCGACCGAGGACCGCGCC
rnacentral:rRNA from 1 species